CUAGGGAUAUGACCAAAUUAGUAAAGUGCUUGCCUUGCAAGCACAAGGCCCUGGGUUCAAACCCCAGCCCUACA
rnacentral:tRNA from 1 species